UUCCACUUGACGACCAGUUUUUUUUUUUAAUCCUUGCUUCCGUCCUCCUUUCAAUCCGUUUUCUUGCUUAUUAAUUUUAUUUGUGCUGUAUUUUACUUUGGGUAUUAGCGUCCUAUUGGAUUCUUUGUAUGUUGGUUUGCUCAGAAAUCUGAGGUUGUCGCUGUUUCUGUUUCCUUUGUCACGCUUUUGGGAAUUUUUUUCUCCAUUACUCUGUAUUUGUGUUGUUCAACAUUAAAGAAAGCUUUAAUCUUCUCCGAUAUUGGUGCAUGUGAGUAACCAGCCGGAGACAUGAACCCUGCACAUCCACUGCUCUCACAAAAAGAUAUGCUAUGAUCCAUUGCCUUUUUGAUGGUAUUAGAAGCAACUCUGAAAGAUUGAUCUGAUGAAGGAGUAUAUGCACGGAUUAUGAUCUUCCAACUCUUAGAGGUGAUCCUCAAAAAACAAUAGGGAUAAAUCAAAAUUGUUGGUGCUUUUGCUCAGUUAUAAUCAAAGAAACAUAAAUAUGUAAUUGUGUUUCAAGCAACCUUUUUCUCCAAUACCCCCAAGAACUAUUAACUUUGGAAAUGUCAUUUAUAGUCUUUACAACCAGAGCUUGCUCAAAUUUGGUCAGCAACGGCUUAUGAAUCGGAUGACAUUUUGGAAGUGGAUAGCAUUUUGAAAGUGAGCUCGCCGAUAACGGUUGCGUUAGUUAAACUUGAUAGUCAUUCUGGGUUAUAUGUUUGUAUGUAUACAUUAGACCUUUAAUUUCGUUUAAAAUGCACAUCUAACAUUUCUAAGUAAUUCUCUCGUAAGAAAUACAAAAAUUUGACUA